rnacentral:rRNA from 1 species
GUGAACGCUGGCGGUAGGCCUAACACGUGCAAGUCGAACGGCAGCACAGUAAGAGCUUGCUCUUACGGGUGGCGAGUGGCGGACGGGUGAGGAAUACAUCGGAAUCUACUUUUUCGUGGGGGAUAACGUAGGGAAACUUACGCUAAUACCGCAUACGACCUACGGGUGAAAGCAGGGGAUCUUCGGACCUUGCGCGAUUGAAUGAGCCGAUGUCGGAUUAGCUAGUUGGCGGGGUAAAGGCCCACCAAGGCGACGAUCCGUAGCUGGUCUGAGAGGAUGAUCAGCCACACUGGAACUGAGACACGGUCCAGACUCCUACGGGAGGCAGCAGUGGGGAAUAUUGGACAAUGGGCGCAAGCCUGAUCCAGCCAUACCGCGUGGGUGAAGAAGGCCUUCGGGUUGUAAAGCCCUUUUGUUGGGAAAGAAAAGCAGCAGGUUAAUACCCCGCUGUUCUGACGGUACCCAAAGAAUAAGCACCGGCUAACUUCGUG